GACGAACGCUGGCGGCGUGCUUAACACAUGCAAGUCGAACGGCAAGGCCCUUCGGGGUACACGAGUGGCGAACGGGUGAGUAACACGUGGGUGAUCUGCCCUGCACUUCGGGAUAAGCCUGGGAAACUGGGUCUAAUACCGGAUAGGACCACUGCCUGCAUGGGAGGGGGUGUAAAGCUUUUGCGGUGUGGGAUGGGCCCGCGGCCUAUCAGCUUGUUGGUGGGGUGAUGGCCUACCAAGGCGACUACGGGUAGCCGGCCUGAGAGGGUGACCGGCCACACUGGGACUGCGAUACGGCCCAGACUCCUACGGGAGGCAGCAGUGGGGAAUAUUGCACAAUGGGCGCAAGCCUGAUGCAGCGACGCCGCGUGAGGGAUGACGGCCUUCGGGUUGUAAACCUCUUUCAGCACCGACGAAGCGCAAGUGACGGUAGGUGCAGAAGAAGGACCGGCCAACUACGUGCCAGCCGCCGCCGUAA
rnacentral:rRNA from 1 species